UGAGCAAUCUGCCCUUCUCUUUGGAAUAAGCGUUGGAAACGACGUCUAAUGCCGAAUACGACCUCCUUUCGCAUGAUCGGAGGUGGAAAGCUCCGGCGGAGAAGGAUGAGCUCGCGGCCUAUCAGCUAGUUGGUGUGGGUAAUGGCCCACCAAGGCGACGACGGGUAGCCGGCCUGGAGAGGGUGACCGGCCACACUGGGACUGAGACACGGCCCAGACCUCCGUACGGGAGGNAGCG
rnacentral:rRNA from 1 species